GGGUGAUUGUCUAAUCGGGUGGAAUCUUGGACCCUUUACCAGACCGUUGUGUGGCGGCCCAGGCAUAUUUUUGUUAUUUUGGUUGUAGUGAGCACAGUCAAACAGUUGUAGAGAACGCCAGCUACGGUGGUAAAAUGAAUUCAACUUUGAAUAUCAAGAUGAUGUCCUCGAAAGGGUCGUGUUGCAGUGUUUACGGGUGUUCGUUGAGACCUGCAACAAACUAAACAAUUCAAGUUUUUAGAUUUCCGAAAGAAAGUGGACCACUGCUAUGAAUAAAGAUGUUUGGCUACCAACAGUAAAUUCGAAGAAUUUCCGUGCACGCUUAAUUACAGGGAAGUGAUGUCAUGGUGAAGUGCAAAGCAGCCUUGCUUGGUUGUACAGUGGCAAUGUUAUGGUGUUGGAGACCCCUUAAAUCUAAAACGUUGUUUUAGAGAAUUUUGCAGUAUGUCCAACCGGCCUCACAACCGCGUCGUGUGGGCGAGCAGUUUGCCGAUGUCAAUGUUGUGAACAGUGUCUUAUGGUGUCGGUGGGGUUAUGAUAUUGGCAUGCUACGGAUAAUGAACACAAUUGCAUUUUAUAGAUGGCAAUUUCAAUGCACAAAAAUACAGUGACGAGAUCCAUUGUGAGGCCCAAUUUUUUUUUUAAAUUUUUUUUAAUUUUUUUUUUAAAUAAAUGUAUCUGUUACCAACCGAUGCAUAUCUGUAUUCCCAGUAAUGUGACAUCCAUAGAUUAGGGUCUAAUGCAUUUAUUUCAAUUGACUGUUUUCCUCAUAUGAACUGUAACUCAGUAAAAUCUUUAAAAUUGUUGCGUUUGAUAUUUUUCAGUAUAAUUCUAGAUGAUAUGUAAGGAAGGAUGCAUAUACAUCAUUAUAUGGGUUUAAUACGUGCAAGAGUAUCUCUUUAAAGGUUAAUGUUUUAAGGAAAACGCAUAAUAAUAGCUUAAACACAAUUCCUGGAACUACUCACUAUUUUCUCAAAUCUUCACACACAAUUUUAAAAACUCACCCAACGGUACAACCAUCUAACUUCUGGGUCCCAAUUCAAACUUUGCCCUCAGACAACACACACAAGCGGUCAAAUGCAGACUACAUGACUGUUUGUUACACACUGGAGGGAUUCAUUCAAAAC
ensembl:lncRNA